rnacentral:rRNA from 1 species
AGCAGCCGCGGUAAUUCCAGCUCCAAUAGCGUAUAUUAAAGUUGUUGCAGUUAAAAAGCUCGUAGUUGAAUUUCGGGGUUAGUAGAUUGGUCAUGCCUCUGGUAUGUACUGGUCUCACUGAUUCCUCCUUCCUGAUGAUCCGUAAUGCCAUUAAUUUGGUGUUGCGGGGAAUUUGGACUGUUACUUUGAAAAAAUUAGAGUGUUUAAAGUAAGCUAACGCUUGAAUACAUUAGCAUGGAAUAAUGAAAUAGGACGUUCGAUCCUAUUCUGUUGGUUUCUAGGAUUGACGUAAUGAUUAAUAGGGAUAGUUGGGGGCAUUAGUAUUCAAUUGUCAGAGGUGAAAUUCUUGGAUUUAUUGAAGACUAACUACUGCGAAAGCAUUUGCCAAGGAUGUUUUCAUUAAUCAAGAACGAAAGUUAGGGGAUCGAAGACGAUCAGAUACCGUCGUAGUCUUAGCCAUAAACUAUGCCGACUAGGGAUCGGAUGAUGUUAAUUUUUUAAUGACUCA